rnacentral:rRNA from 1 species
UGGCGGACGGGUGAGUAACGCGUGGGGUAACCUACCUCAUACAGGGGGAUAACAGUUGGAAACGACCGCUAAUACCGCAUAACCCGCUAGUAUCGCAUGAUACAGACGGAAAAGAUUUAUCGGUAUGAGAUGGACCCGCGUCUGAUUAGCCAGUUGGCAGGGUAACGGCCUACCAAAGCGACGAUCAGUAGCCGGCCUGAGAGGGUGAACGGCCACAUUGGGACUGAGACACGGACCAAACUCCUACGGGAGGCAGCAG